UUGAGAAGAAAAUAAGAAUACUCUUGGUAUAGAUUACAAUUUCAAAAUCAUAAUUAAAAACAAGAUACAACUGUUAACCAUACUUGAAAAAUGGACGAUUUCACAUAUAAAUUAACAGAAGGAAGGCUAAAUUAAUACACUACUACAUUCUUCUCAUAAGCCUUUAACAAACUCAUCAAAAAAACACUAAUCAGCUUCCUAAUGUUAAUACAAAGAUAAAGCAGAGGAAACAGGAACUAGUAAUCUACUUUAGCUUCAGAUUUUGCAAACAACUCUUUCCUUCCAUUCAGCAGUUAGAUACUCCUCUCCCUCUUCUGCUUCCAAUCCCUCCGGUAGACAUUCCCAAAAUUAUAGAUCAAACGAUGGGACUGGGAAAAAUCAUCCUGUAGACAUGUUAACUACACUGGGAAAAACUAAAUUACAUCAAAUGACCAAAACAUAAUUUAAGCUUUCUUUAUUAAAACCAACAUAAUCCCUUCCCCUUGGUGGUGCCUAAAUCUUGUUACUUGAAAGACUAACAAACAAAUUUCUUAAUGAAUAUUUGCACUUUUAACACUAACUUACCAAUUUAGCCCUUGCACUCUAAAAUUUGUGACACUGCUUUUAUUAUUAGUUCAGUGUUUGGAUUUGCUGAAUUUCUUUUGCUUUAAAGUGGAGGAGUAACCUUUUUUACAAAUAAUUAAUUUUCAAUUUUUUGGGAUUGAUUCAAAUAUAGGUAAUUUAUAUUAAAUAUUAUAACCCCCAAAAAAUCACCUCCAUAAAAAAAUGGGCAACCCAGGACUUUAUAUACUAUUAUAGCUACAAACUGCAACCAAUGAAUAAUCCUCAACAUGUGAAAUAGCUCAAUUAUGGUGAAGAUCAAUAUAUAGUUUGACAUUUAUUCGAUAAACUAGAAAGAUUAGUAUAGGGCUGGGUCGAAUAAAACUUACUGGGCAUCGCCAGCAACAUUUGUCGCUAGAAUCAGAGACCUGAAAGUUCAAACUGUGAUGUGAGCAAUUGGAUAAAAACAAGUGGUGGUGGUGGUGGUGGUGAGGAGAGAUAAAAUGAUGAUGAGGGCAGUGGUGUUGAAAAUGAUGAUGGUGGGAGCAAGGCCUCCAUGUCCUGCACCCGGUAUGAUGAAGAAUCCACGAGUUUGACGGGUGUGGGUGGGUUUAGCCUUCACACUUUUUGGUAAACUAUAAUAUCAGCCCAACACACAGCCCAGCCCAGCCCAUUUAUUUAAUUUUUUUUUGCUAAAUUAUUUGUAUAAAUAAACAAGGCUCUACGGCCAAACACGGCGUUACCAGAGCUUCAUCAUGUCAUGCCCGCCGCCAAUCAAGGAGAAAUAAAAAGCUACUACUACUACA
rnacentral:lncRNA from 1 species